rnacentral:rRNA from 1 species
UACGGGGGGGGCAAGCGUUGUUCGGAAUUACUGGGCGUAAAGGGUUUGUAGGUGGCUCGCUAAGUCAGACGUGAAAUCCCUCAGCUUAACUGGGGAACUGCGUCUGAGACUGGCAAGCUUGAGUGCAGGAGAGGAACGCGGAAUUCCGGGUGUAGCGGUGAAAUGCGUAGAUAUCUGGAGGAACACCGGUGGCGAAGGCGGCGUUCUGGACUGUAACUGACACUGAUGAACGAAAGCCAGGGGAGCAAACGGG